GACGAACGCUGGCGGCGUGCUUAACACAUGCAAGUCGAACGGAAAGACCCUGCUUUUGUGGGGUGCUCGAGUGGCGAACGGGUGAGUAACACGUGAGUAACCUGCCCUUGACUUUGGGAUAACUUCAGGAAACUGGGGCUAAUACCGGAUAGGAGCUCCUGCUGCAUGGUGGGGGUUGGAAAGUUUCGGCGGUUGGGGAUGGACUCGCGGCUUAUCAGCUUGUUGGUGGGGUAGUGGCUUACCAAGGCUUUGACGGGUAGUCGGCCUGAGAGGGUGACCGGCCACAUUGGGACUGAGAUACGGCCCAGACUCCUACGGGAGGCAGCAGUGGGGAAUAUUGCACAAUGGGCGGAAGCCUGAUGCAGCAACGCCGCGUGCGGGAUGACGGCCUUCGGGUUGUAAACCGCUUUCGCCUGUGACGAAGCGUGAGUGACGGUAAUGGGUAAAGAAGCACCGGCUAACUACGUG
rnacentral:rRNA from 1 species